GGACAAUGGGCGGAAGCCUGAUCCAGCCAUGCCGCGUGAAGGAAUAAGGUCCUAUGGGUCGUAAACUUCUUUUGACGCAGAGCAAUAAGGGACACGCGUGUUCCGAAUGAGAGUAUGCGUCUAAUAAGCAUCGGCUAACUCCGUGCCAGCAGCCGCGGUAAUACGGAGGAUGCGAGCGUUAUCCGGAUUUAUUGGGUUUAAAGGGUGCGUAGGCUGUUGGAUAAGUCAGCGGUGAAAUCACCACGCUUAACGUGUAGUGUGCCGUUGAAACUGUCUGGCUUGAAUGCGCUCGUCGUGAGAGGAAUGUGUGGUGUAGCGGUGAAAUGCAUAGAUAUCACACAGAACACCGAUUGCGAAGGCAUCUCACGAGGGCGCUAUUGACGCUGAUGCACGAAAGCGCGGGUAUCGAACAGGAUUAGAUACCCUGGUAGUCCGCGCUGUAAACGAUGAUGACUAACCGUUGGUCUGGUAUGGAUCAGUGGUCAAGCGAAAGCGUUAAGUCAUCCACCUGGGGAGUAUGGCCGCAAGGCUGAAACUCAA
rnacentral:rRNA from 1 species